AGCAGUAGCCACGGUAAUACGUAGGGCGCAAGCGUUGUCCGGAAUUAUUGGGCGUAAAGAGCUCGUAGGCGGUCUGUCGCGUCUGGUGUGAAAUCCCGAGGCUCAACCUCGGGCUUGCAUCGGGUACGGGCAGACUAGAGUGCGGUAGGGGAGACUGGAAUUCCUGGUGUAGCGGUGGAAUGCGCAGAUAUCAGGAGGAACACCGAUGGCGAAGGCAGGUCUCUGGGCCGCAACUGACGCUGAGGAGCGAAAGCAUGGGGAGCGAACAGGAUUAGAUACCCCGGUAGUCCCUGUCUCUUAUAC
rnacentral:rRNA from 1 species